CUAAUGCAUAAAGGGUCGUUGCCGUUCAUGAUUAUGCAUUAAACUUUGCUUAUAAACAGGCCGCUGCCAGUUUUUGUUUACUCGAGCUCCAGUAUAUUAGCUCCAGCCUUUGCGCUAUUUGGCAUUUUUUGUUGAAAACAGGUAGAUAGCUCGCAGCUAGAGAAGUCAAAAUGAAGCCCGCAAUGAUUGUUUGUCUCUUGAUGAUGGCUGCCUUUGUAACUAUGGUCACUGAAACAGAUGGCAAACCUGCUAACGAGUACGAAUCCGUGGAAGGAGUAGAGCCUCUGUAUAAAACGAAAUUCCGAAGUGUCCCGCGUCCGUUUCAUGGGCGUACGGCCUGUUGUCCGGGUUUUGCUUGUGAUGGAUCCUGCUUCUGCUGUAUUUAGUGCAAUUAAAACCAGAAACCAAUCAGUGCCGCCGUAAAGAAGUAAUAUGAAAGUAGAAUUAAAGCAACAGCAUCAUGAUAUUAGGGUUAACUUGAAGAACAUGGCUAUUGAUCACCUAACUGGACCAGAUAUUUUUUAAAAGUUAACGUUAAACACAAAAUGUAUCCGUCUGCGGUUAGUAUAAAAAAUCAGCUGCUCUUUUAUUAUGUCCUUAGGUAUCAAAUCGAUGUUAACGUUGCAUGAAAAGAACGAAAUAAAUACGCAGAUGUACUGAUUUAUUUAA